UUAAGCUAGAAAGAGCGCAGGGUGGAUGCCUUGGCACUAAGAGCCGAUGAAAGACGUGAUAAGCUGCGAAAAGCUUCGGGGAGGAGCAAAUAUCCAAUGAUCCGGAGAUAUCUGAAUGGGGAAACCCGGCAGAGGAAACCUCUGUCAGCGUGCAGUGAAUACAUAGCUGUACGUGGGGAACCCGGGGAACUGAAACAUCUAAGUACCCGGAGGAAGAGAAAGAAAAUUUAUCGAUUUCCAAAGUAGCGGCGAGCGAAAUGGAAAGAGCCCAAACCGUGAUGCGUGCAUCGCGGGGUUCGGACUGCGUUGUGGCAGACGUAAGAUAGGAGAACGGACUGGGAAGUCCGGCCGGAGAGAGUGAAAGCCUCGUAUCCGAAAUCCCAAGUCGCCUAGCAGGAUCCAGAGUAGGACGAGACACGAGAAACCUUGUCUGAACGAGCGGGGACCACCCCGUAAGGCUAAAUACUUCUUAGUGACCGAUAGCGCAUAGUACUGUGAAGGAAAGGUGAAAAGUACCCCGGGAGGGGAGUGAAAGAGAACCUGAAACCCUGUGUCUACAAGCUGUGGGACCUCUUUAUAUGAGGGACUGCGUACUUUUUGUAGAACGGUCCGGCGAGUUGUGCGUACUGGCGAGGUUAAGGACUUAAGGUCUGGAGCCGAAGUGAAAGCAAGCGUUAAUAGCGCGUCAAGUCAGUGAGUGCAGACCCGAAACCGGGUGACCUAUCCAUGUCCAGGUUGAAGCUUCCGUAAGAGGAAGUGGAGGACCGAACCCACAUCCGUUGAAAAGGGUGGGGAUGAGGUGUGGAUAGCGGAGAAAUUCCAAUCGAACCCGGAGAUAGCUGGUUCUCCUCGAAAUAGCUUUAGGGCUAGCCUCAUGAGAGUCUUAUGGAGGUAGAGCACUGAAUUGCCUAGGGGGCGUCAAAGCUUACCAAAGCAUAUCAAACUCCGAAUGCCAUCAAGAUGAUUCAUGGGAGUCAGACCAUACGAGAUAAGUUGGAUGGUCAAAAGGGAAAGAGCCCAGACCUACAGCUAAGGUCCCAAAGUACGUGUUAAGUGGAAAAGGAUGUGGGGAUUCUAAGACAACUAGGACGUUGGCUUAGAAGCAGCCAUUCAUUGAAAGAGUGCGUAAUAGCUCACUAGUCGAGAGUCCCUGCGCCGAAAAUGUCCGGGGCUGAAACACGACACCGAAGCUUAGGAAUGUGUAAACAUUGGUAGAGGAGCAUUGUUAGCGGGAUGAAGCCAUACCGUAAGGAGUGGUGGACUGCUAGGAAGAGAGAAUGCCGGAAUGAGUAGCGAGAUGAAGGUGAGAAUCCUUCAGGCCGAAUAUCUAAGGUUUCCAGAGUAAAGCUGAUCUGCUCUGGGUAAGUCGGGACCUAAGGCGAGGUCGAAAGACGUAGUCGAUGGAUAACAGGUUGAAAUUCCUGUACCGCAUAUAAACAGAACUGUGGGGACACAGACAGGGAAUGGAAUCCGGGAAUGGAAAUCCCGGUGCAAGCGAGGUAGGAGUGCUGUUGGCAAAUCCGCAGCACGAUCUGAAGACGUGACGUGUACCGAACAUAAGUAGGGAAGUCCAGGCCCCUGGCUGUCAAGAAAAGCCGCUAUUGUUUUAUAUGUGCCCGUACCGCAAACCGACACAGGUGGAUGAGGAGAGAAUCCUAAGGCCGACGGGAGAAGUAUUGUUAAGGAACUCGGCAAAAUGACUCCGUAACUUCGGGAGAAGGAGUGCCAUGAGAGUGGCCGCAGAGAAAUGGCCCAAGCAACUGUUUAGCAAAAACACAGGUCUAUGCAAAACCGCAAGGUGAAGUAUAUGGGCUGACGCCUGCCCGGUGCUGGAAGGUUAAGGGGAGAGGUUAGCGCAAGCGAAGCUUUGAACUUAAGCCCCAGUAAACGGCGGCCGUAACUAUAACGGUCCUAAGGUAGCGAAAUUCCUUGUCGGGUAAGUUCCGACCC
rnacentral:rRNA from 1 species